AACGCACCAAGCUGUGGAUUAAUCCCGCUGCGCGCCCUGGGGCAGAGUGGGAGGAGAUGCAGCCAGGCAAAGGGCCCGGGGCGGGGAACGACUGGAGCCAGGCAGGGUAGCUGCGACCCGAGAGUGGCGAAACUGUCCACGGGAGCUGCGGGGCUGGGCCGCGGGAGAGUCGAACGAAGGGCGGGCAGCUGGAGAGAGGCGUCAGCACUGAUGUUAAAAACACUCCAGGGAAUAGAAUUGAUGUCAUUGGCCAAAUAACUGCAGUCUUGGAAAACAGUGAUGCAGAACAGAUAUUGGAGUAGACCAACGAACUACAUUUAUUAAGGGGAAGAGCUAAACAAACCACAAGACAUAGUGUCUACAAAAUCCAGGACUCAGCCAAACUGCUUAACUUCAGCAGACUGUAACUGAAUACCAGUGGGAGAAACCUUUAAACUACAGGCUUCUGCCACAAAGCUUUUAUAUAGCAAAAUGCCCAUGCUGCCUCAGUUCCUGAUGAUUAUCACAGCAGUGUUAUACCUUAAAUUAGCCCCAGCUGGCCUUGCUGGACUGCAAAGAAGCCAAUUAUCAGGCAGGAGCUGACAGAAUUAGUUUCUCUCUUGCUGGAUGAAGUUGGGAUAAGAAUAUUUAUUAUUUUCUCCAGCUUGUCUUAGGUAAGAUAUCCUACUUUCAUUUACUUGGCAGGGGAGAAGCAAUAAAAUAAGUUAAAAUAAAGUUUCCACUCUGAGACUGACACCUGUCUCUUCUCCCUAGUUUAGCAGAGGUGGACAUGGCCCUGUUCAGUUUCCGCUUAAAUCAGAGGAGAAAAAGGUUUCCUGUGUGCUUGCAAGGAGGUUUCAAAAGAAAGCAUGCUGUGUUGAUUUUACAAAAAAGAAGAAAGAUAAUUAACUACUGUUUAUAUCAGGGGUGGGCAAACUUUUUGGCCCAAGAGCCACAUCAGGGUUGCUCAGCUGUAUGGAGGGCCGGGUAGGGAAGGCUGUGCCUCCCCAAACAGCCUGGCCCCUGCCCCCUAUCCACUCACUCCCCGCCCCCCUCAGACUCACUGACCAUCCAACCCCACCUGCUCCUUGGCCCCUGACUGCCCUGUCCCAGGACCCCCACACCCCUAACCACCCCCCGGGACCCCAGCCCCUAUCCAACUUCCCCCCGCUCCCUGUCCCCUGACUGCCACAACCCCUAUCCACACCCCUGCCCCUAACUGCCCCCUGGGAUCCCAACCCCUAUCCAACUCCCCCUGCUCCCCAUUCCCUGACUGCCCCCCCCCCACUGAACCUCCACCCCAUCCAACCACCCCUUGUUCCCUGACUGCCCUUUGGGACCUGCUGCCUCUUAUCCAACCACCCUACUCCCCGCCCCCUUACCAUGCCGGAGCCAGCCACGCCGCCAUGCUGCCUGAGAGGAGCAGCGGGCCAGAGCGCUGCCCAUGCGGCAGUAUGACUGCGGGGGGAGGAGGGACAGUGGGGGAGGGGCCAGGGAUGAGCCUCCCCAGCGGGGACCUCAGGGGCUGGGCAGGACGGUCCCGCGGGCCGGAUGAGGCCCAUGGGCUGUAGUUUGCCCACCUCUGUUUAUAUCCUAUCUGUAUCACAUGCACUCACACACUCCAUAAGAAGGAAUUCAUGGUGCAGAGAAGUAAUUAAAUAAAAGCUUUCGGAACAGGGAAGGAGUGAUGUUCUCAUCCUGUGUCUUCGUAGGCUCUUUUAUCAGGGAUCCUCUGAAAAGGAAAACUAAGGAGAAACUGCAUUUCUUCCUAUGCAGAACUUUUUUUCCCCUACGCAAGUAAAAAAGGUCAUUUUAUGUGUUUUGCUUUGUGUAUAUAGUACUUUAAUGCUGGCUGUUUAUUAAUAAUCCAAGCCCCAUACAGUGGUGCACAAAGCAGAGGACGACUUUCUCUUCCAAAGUCGUGUCCCCCAAAUUAGAAUGAUAAUGCAGUUCAAACACACAAUACAGUGGAUGAUCAUAGGAAUGUCCAUUUCAGAUUGGUGCAGAUUUCUCUUUUAAACAUUUCCCUGGUAGGUUAUCAUGGAAAGCCUUAGUAGAAAAGGUGUGUUACGUGAGAAGAUUUGAAGGAAGAGAAGGCAGUUAUUUGGUGCACACAAAUAGAAGGGGUUCCAGCAUAGGCAGUGUCAUGAGAAAAGGUGCAAAUGUGGAUGCUGGGGAAAGCUACAAAAAGAACAUUUAGGAGAGUGACAAGGUGGGAAUGGAGACCGUUAGACAGGAAUAGGAGGAACUAUCUGACUAUGAGGGAAAGGCAGAGUUGUGCAGGUGAGCACAUGAAGUUUCAUCUUAGUGCAGAAGGUUGGAGGAAUCUAUGCUAUAUGGCAGAGGUGGUCAAACUGUGGCUCAUGAGCCACAUGCUGCUCUUUUAUCAUUAAAGUGCAGCUCACGGAGCCCCACAGGCCCCCCCGAUUCUCCACUUACCAGACUGGGGGGUAUGGGGGGGAUCAGGACCUCUGCCUUGCAGCAGGGUGGUACGGUAUGGGGAGGGGGGUCUUGGGGCUUCAGCAGGAGCAGGGCUGAAGUCCCAACUCGUGGCUCCUGGCAGGUGUGCCCCGACUCUCGAACUUCUGAAGAUUGUCAUAUGUAGCUCGGCAGGCCAGUAAGUUUGGCUACCCCUGAUAUAUGGGGAGACCAUACGAGAGAGGAGGCUGCCUUGAUCAAAAUGGGAUAUAACCAAAGCAUGGACAAUGUUUUUUUGGAUGAGAAUGUUGAGAUUGUGUAUUACUCUACAAUAAUAUUAUAGAAUUAUUUUAAAACUAUAACUAUAGUUAUUUAGACUACAAAAGACAUUCCAGAUUAGAAUAACUUUGACAGUCAUCAGCUAUUUGAAAAUGUUUAUAUCGUUUUUUUGAAAGCAAGAGAAAUUGGAAUAAAUAAUCACUUCCUAGAGAAAGUGUUGAUAUGUGUUAUAGACAACACCAUGAAUGUAUAAUCUUUGUUUUCUAAAGGGGUCUGUUUUGCAGAAGAGAGAGAUUUCCUUUCUCUUUAUCUCCUUCUAGAGUCAGCAUAGCUAACAGCAAUUUGGGGGAGGAGGUGCUUGCUGGUGCAAUGGGCUCAUGCACUUGCCUUUCUCCUUUGAAGACCUUUUUUAAAACCUGGUUCAGGAUACACGAGGAAAAGCGUUUGUCUCCAGUCUUGUUUCCCAUUUGUUCUCUUCACAGUUUGGCACAAGUCAGCAUCAUUAACAGGCAGUGUUAAAAAAUAGCCCUGUGCUAGAAUAGCAAGGGAGUUAUAGAUUUGUUAAGGAAACUUGCCCAGACCAGAGCCUGCCUAUGAUAAAAUCCCUCAUUUACAAGGCUGCUAAACUUCUCAUAAUUCAAUUAUCAAAAAAGAAAAGUUCUCUAAAUAAUUCUGACUUUCUCAAUAGAAGUUAUAGCCACUUUUGCCAGUGCAGUAGGAUCCACAACAUAGCACAUCCAAAAAUAUAUCGGAAUGAGAUCACUUUUUCAAUGCAGUACACUGCAUAAAGUGCAUGGUAGUAAUAAGAGCACCAUAGGUAGAUAAAUUAUGGAUAUUUUACAUACAGCAAUCGGUGCUUCCCAGUGUUUAGGAUCUUUUUCAAGUCACUGGUAUGAAUGUGCACUGAUUCAUGAGUUUAGCUGCUCUACCCCUUUGUUUCCAUGAGUUGUUCACGUUUCAUGAGCAUCAUGAGUCCCCAUGGAUGAGGUAAAGAUUCCAUUUAUUGAUGUGUCUAAAGGGAAUAAUGAGUUCCAAAAACUCUGGAUGCAGAUAUAAUUGUGUGAAAUAGAAACAUCUUGUGUUACUUUGCCACAUAUAAAAAAAAUCUGCAUCUGUACAUUUUUGCUAUAUCUUAUCAACUUUCUUAUGUUGCCUUCUCAUUGGGUAGGACAGCGGUUCUAAAACUGUGGUCAGGACCCCAAAGUGGGUCACAACCAAUUUUAAUGGGUCACCAGGGCUGGCUUAGACUUGCUGGGACCCAGGGCCAAGGCCCAAGCCUAAGGGCUUCAGCCCUGGGUGGUAAGGCUAAGGUUACAGGCCCCCUGCCUAGGGCUGAAGCUCUUGGGCUUCAGCUUUGGCCCCCCGGCCUGGGGUAGUGCAGCUUUGACUCUUCUCCCCUCCCACUGGGGGUGGCAGGGCUUGGGCGAGCUCAGGUUUUGGUCCCCCCUCCUGGGGUCCUGUAGUAAUUUUUGUUGUCAGAAGAGGGUUACAGUGCAAUGAAGUUUGAGAACCCCUGGGGUAGGGGGAUUUUUCAGAGAGAACUUGGGGCGGUGAGUGAUGCGGUGUACACCUCCACACAAGGUGGCAGAGCAGGUUAAAUUAGGAUAAUUAACCUGAUGGGUUGUACCUGGGGAAGAGCCAGGGAUUGAAGGCCUGAUUGAAGAUGGAGCCCAGCUGGAAAGGAACAGGCAGGGCUAAGAUAAAGCCAGGAAGCUGGCAGUAGCAUGGGGCUGCAGUAAGGGAGCCUGUAGCCACUCUCUAGUUUGUAGAGAGGGAAAGAAGGGAAACUAGGUGGAGAGGGUGUAGGGAAAGGCUCAGAGGAAAGGCAGGAAGGCUUAAGGGAGUGCAGACUGUGGCUACUGAUUAGAGGGUCUGUAAGAUGGAACCUGGAGUAGAGGGUGGCUUGGCUUCCCCUACCAGUCACUGGAGAAGCGCACCAUUGGGGAAGUGAAGGAAAGACAGCCAUCUUGGAGGAAGAGACUUUGAUACGCUCGGAACGGGGGAAAACACAGUGACCUAGCCAGAGAGCCAAGCAUAAAGACACAGCACCCUGAGUCGCAGAGAGUGAGAGAGAGCACAGUGACGGGGCCUGUAGCAAGCAGCAGAAAGGGGUUUUGGACCAGAGUGGAACUAAUCCCCAAAUGUGGCCAGAAGGAGGUGCCCUAGUGGUGCAUGCACCCCAUGACAUGGUGAUAUUAGCAUUAUAAAAUAUUUGUAUUAGAGUAGCACCCAGAGACCCCAAUCGGGGUAAAUGAUAUUGUUCCCUUUCCCCAUCCACCCACCCACCCUCCCUUCCUUUUCUGUCUUCAUUCCAAAAACAUGUCUCCAGGCCUGCUCUUCCAUAGCGUGCCUCCAGCCCGUCCUCUCCCACCCUGCUGCUGUUUCCCAUUUAAAGGCCACAGCUGAGAACCUUUCUAAUGUCCAGACUUCUACUCAGAAUCUGAAUGCCUGGGCUGUUCUUUCCAAAUGCUGGAAUAGACAAGAGCUACAAAGCUGCAUCUUAAGUCUGCGGCUGGAAGAGAGCCAUAGUAGCAAGCUGUUGAAAACCAAUGUGUGUUUUUUGUUUUUAACUGCAAUUAAUAUCUUCACUGCUGACAUGUAUGACAUCAUUCUAUGGAUGCAUGUUUGAAAACAGUGAAUUCUAGUUUACACAUACCCCUGGGAGCUGAUGUUUGGAUUUGUUUCUGUGUUGCUUAUAACACCAGUUUUCUUGUUUAGUUGUUUUUUCCAAACAUGCUUCUCUGCUGGACAAUAUAUACUGUGAUUAGAGAAUUUUCUGUAACAUUGCAUGCAGCACUGGAAAUUAACAGUUUUAUAAUGUAUUCAAUUUAUAAUUAAACAAAUACUUUAUAUUCA